UCCGGAAGUAGAACGAGAAUUGAAUUAUGGCAGGUGCCAUAGACGGCAGGUGCCAUGUUAUCCAGAACAUUUGAUAUUGUUGAGGCGAUGAUAAAGCACGGACAACGUACGCUGUCGAAUCAUUGAUUCACAGCCCAGAAUGUUGCGUUCAAAGCCAAAAGUGAAGCGGAGUGUGCUGCAGUCCUUUGGUGCAGGUGUUGUGUGUAAGUGAGCAGAGACGAGUUUAAGCACCAGCCGGGGCUGGCUGAGGCAGCAGAGGAGAGAGUGUAUAAGACCGCACAAAGAGCUUGAAGGAUUUCUCAGGACACAAAUGAGAGAAGCAGCUGAGCCCGGGGUAGGAUGGAGGGGAUGCAAAGGAUUGAGAGGAGGAGGACGCGGAGCGGUGGAGAGAACUGUGCACUAGUGGGCUCCGUUUAGUCCCUAACCCGUACCUCUGGAUGUCUCUGCCCAGACUGGUCCGACCCAAAGUUUACACUAUUGUAAGGCACUGGGUACACCUGGAGGAUCGGACACGCUUUCUUUGCCAUAAUAGAGUAUGUUCUGUUAAGCAAAGGGCUCUCUAAUGCCUAACUGGAAUUUUCCUUGAAGCUGCUCCAUUUUUUACAUACACAACGUGAUUGAUCUGCUUUGCAUUCUGGAUCAGAGGCUCUAGGAUAAAGAAAAAGUAAAGCCUUAAUACGGUCACUUGGCUGAGUUUUGUAUCGCUGCUAAACUAUUUUUUAUAGUGGAUUCAUAUGGUUGUUGAAAUCUUCUAUGACCUUUUUUUAAUGGUAACCCAACCAGCGUUUACACUGUUUCCCAAGGUGUGUGGCAUAACAAGAAUGCCAUGUCAUACUGUUGAGCCUGUAUGCAUGCAUGUGUUACUGCCACUGUCAAUGUGUUUGGGGGCAUGCGAGUGUGCUCUUGUUAGUGUAAUGAGUAAAUUGUUUGAAAUGUCCCUACACCAUGUGAGCGCUGGGAUACUUUCAGAGAUACACAUAACUUCAAGCAAUGCUACUUUUCUGCUCAUGAGGCCAGUUGGAAUCCCCUUCUGAGUUUCUCUGCUUGUUGUGAUAUUGACACUAUAGUGCAUCUCUAAUGCAUUUCUGAUUGUAUGAUGGUUGCUGAUUUGUUAGCUCUGUGUUUAUUGCCUAUUCUAUUACUUUAUUGAGUAUAUUGCUGAAAUGUUUUUU